UAAAAAAACGACCUGCCGUGUUGCCUAUGU
rnacentral:piRNA from 1 species